GCGUGGGUGAAGAAGGUCCUCGGAUUGUAAAGCCCUUUCGGCGGGGACGAUGGUGACGGUACCCGCAGAAGAAGCCCCGGCCAACUUCGUGCCAGCAGCCGCGGUAAUACGAAGGGGGCUAGCGUUGCUCGGAAUUACUGGGCGUAAAGGGCGCGUAGGCGGCCCUGUCAGUCCGGCGUGAAAUCCCGGGGCUCAACCUCGGGGCUGCGCUGGAUACGGUGGGGCUUGAGGCAAGGAGAGGCUCGCGGAAUUCCCAGUGUAGAGGUGAAAUUCGU
rnacentral:rRNA from 1 species